AUAUACCAUUCUUCUCUUUUCAAUCUUACAUAAAAAAUGUCUGAUCUUUACACACAAUCUCAGCUCAUCCCAAACCUACCAAAUGACAUAGCUUUACAAUGCUUAGCCAGAGUUCCACGUUACCAUCACCCAAUUCUUUCUCUUGUUUCCAAAUCUUGGCGCUCCACCAUAAGCUCUACUGCACUCUACACCACUAGAUCAAGAAUCCAUACUACUGAAACUUUCCUUUACCUUAAUCUAAGGAUAAACUCCACUUUCCAUUGGUACACUCUCUUUUCAAGAACCCAAGAAAAACCCAUUAAGGUUUGUCAACUUUCUUCAAUGCCAACUAGGACAAUUGGACCGGCUUUCGCGGUUUUGGGGUCGAAAAUUUAUGUGAUUGGUGGGUCUAUUGGUGAUAUACCGUCGAAUAAUGUGUGGGUUUUUGAUUGUAGGUUUAAUUGUUGGGAAAUGGGUCCAAGAAUGAGGGUUUGUAGAGAGUUUGCUGCUGCUGGUGUUGUGGAUGAGAAGAUUUAUGUGUUGGGUGGUUGUGUUGUUGAUAAUUGGGCUAGGUCGAUGAAUUGGGCUGAGGUUUUUGAUCCGAAAACGGGGUUGUGGACCGCGUUGCCGAGUCCGAUUGAGGUUAGGGAUAAGUGGAUGCAUGCUAGCGCGGUCGUGGGUGGUAGAAUGUAUGCGAUGGCGGAUAGGGGAGGAGUUGUGUAUGAUGCGGAGGGGUGUGCGUGGGGAAGCGUGUCGAAAAGGCUCGAUCUUGGUUGGAGGGGGCGGGCCGCGGUGGUGGGGGAGGUGUUGUACUGUUAUGAUUAUUUGGGUAAGAUUAGAGGGUAUGAUGUGAAGGAAAAUGUGUGGAAGGAAUUGAAAGGGGUGGAGAAAGGGUUGCCUAAGUUUUUGUGUGGUGCGACGAUGGUGAAUUUUGAUGAUAAGUUGUGUGUUGUGUGGGAAGGUAAGGGGAGUGGCAAGGAGGUUGAUAUUAUGUGCGCGGAGAUUGAAGUAUGGAAGAAUGAAGACGGAGGGUUGAGUGGGAAAAUUUUGUGGUCGGAUAUGAUUCUUGUUGUUCCUAAUGGUGCCUCGAUUGUGCAUUGCUUGGCAGUUGACUUGUGAUGAUUACUACAAACAAGUCGGGUGUGCAGAUUGGAUCUGUUGGAUCUUUGAUGCACAUAAAAUGAAAUUCAGCCAACACCGUGAUUUUAAAAAAGAUAAUGUGAAAUGCAUUUUGCCUAACCGGUCGGGGUGGUUGAUCGGUCCUCUUGGAUCCUUGAUGCAUACAUAGAACCUAUUUGGCGGGGAUGAGCAUGCCAGACAUCGUGGAUGGCAUCUGACGCAGAUAUCGUGGAUGGGAUCCCAAUGCAUACACCAUCCCUGUUGUGAAAAUCUUGAGUUGUGGAUAUUGAGAAUGCGAAUUAAGCGAAGCUAUUGAAGGUGCUGAUCAAUGCAUGAGAUGACCUGUCUUUUCACAUGUUGCUUGUUUGGUUCGCAUCAUAAUGCUGCAGUUUCGUCUUUGAGAGUUCUAUAUAUGACUGCACAAAUUCAGAUACCGGCAAGGAACCUCAAGUGUAAACCCUCAAGAAUCAAUAUUUUCAAGUUGUUGAAUGUUCCCAAAGGCCAUUUCCAGAUAAAGGUAAGUGCUUCUGGUUCAACUUUCAGUGCCAGACUGGGGGAGUCGUAGAUGUGAGUUGUGUUUCAAAUACAUUUGUGGAAAGCUGCUACAUAAAUUCUUGGACAAAUUCUAGCGUAACAAAGGCAAUGAGCAAUAGUUUGUAAUUGUCAAGGAGAAAAGGAUCAACAAAUUUUUCUGACACUGCUCAAAUAUUUCAACUCUGCUAUUCAGCUGAGGUUA